rnacentral:rRNA from 1 species
GUAGGGGGCAAGCGUUGUCCGGAAUUAUUGGGCGUAAAGCGCGCGCAGGCGGCCCGCCAAGUCAGAUGUGAAAUCCCUCGGGCUCAACCGAGGACCUGCAUCUGAAACUGGUGGGCUAGAGUACAGGAGAGGGAAGUGGAAUUCCUAGUGUAGCGGUGAAAUGCGCAGAUACUAGGAAGAACACCGGUGGCGAAGGCGGCUUCCUGGACUGUUACUGACGCUGAGGUGCGAAAGCUAGGGGAGCAAACAGGAUUAGAUACCCUGGUAGUCCUAGCCGUAAACGAUGGUCACUAGGUGUAGGGGGUUAUCAACUCCCCCUGUGCCGGAGCUAACGCAUUAAGUGACCCGCCUGGGGAGUACGGCCGCAAGGCUA